GCCUGGGUGGCUUAGUCGGUGAGGCGUCAGACUUCAGCUCAGGUCAUGAAAUCGCGGUUUGUGGGUUCGAGCCCUGCAUUAGGCU
rnacentral:tRNA from 1 species